UACGGAGGGGACUAGCGUUGUUCGGAAUUAUUGGGCGUAAAGAGCUCGUAGGCGGUUUGUUGCGUCGGCCGUGAAAACCUGCAGCUUAACUGUGGGCCUGCGGCCGAUACGGGCAGACUUGAGUUCGGUAGGGGAGACUGGAAUUCCUGGUGUAGCGGUGAAAUGCGCAGAUAUCAGGAGGAACACCGGUGGCGAAGGCGGGUCUCUGGGCCGAUACUGACGCUGAGGAGCGAAAGCGUGGGGAGCGAACAGG
rnacentral:rRNA from 1 species